AUGAACGCUGGCGGCGUGCCUAAUGCCUGCCAGUCGAGCGAACGGACGAGAAGCUUGCUUCUCUGAUGUUAGCGGCGGCCGGGUGAGUAACACGUGGAUAACCUACCUAUAAGACUGGGAUAACUUCGGGAAACCGGAGCUAAUACCGGAUAAUAUUUUGAACCGCAUGGUUCAAAAGUGAAAGACGGUCUUGCUGUCACUUAUAGAUGGAUCCGCGCUGCAUUAGCUAGUUGGUAAGGUAACGGCUUACCAAGGCAACGAUGCAUAGCCGACCUGAGAGGGUGAUCGGCCACACUGGAACUGAGACACGGUCCAGACUCCUACGGGAGGCAGCAGUAGGGAAUCUUCCGCAAUGGGCGAAAGCCUGACGGAGCAACGCCGCGUGAGUGAUGAAGGUCUUCGGAUCGUAAAACUCUGUUAUUAGGGAAGAACAUAUGUGUAAGUAACUGUGCACAUCUUGACGGUACCUAAUCAGAAAGCCACGGCUAACUACGUG
rnacentral:rRNA from 1 species